GAUCAGCCGCUGCCAACCAUCCA
rnacentral:siRNA from 1 species